rnacentral:rRNA from 1 species
UUUGAAAUCUGGCCCCUGGGUCCGAGUUGUAAUUUGUAGAGGAUGCUUUUGGUGCGGUGCCUUCCGAGUUCCCUGGAACGGGACGCCAUAGAGGGUGAGAGCCCCGUCUGGUUGGACACCAAGCCUCUGUAAAGCUCCUUCAACGAGUCGAGUAGUUUGGGAAUGCUGCUCUAAAUGGGAGGUAUAUGUCUUCUAAAGCUAAAUAUUGGCCAGAGACCGAUAGCGCACAAGUAGAGUGAUCGAAAGAUGAAAAGCACUUUGAAAAGAGGGUUAAACAGUACGUGAAAUUGUUGAAAGGGAAGCGCUUGUGACCAGACUUGGGCCCGGUUAAUCAUCCACCGUUCUCGGUGGUGCACUUGGCCGGCCCAGGCCAGCAUCAGUUCGGCGCGGGGGAUAAAGGCGUCGGGAAUGUGGCUCCCCCGGGAGUGUUAUAGCCCGUCGUGCAAUACCCUGUGCUGGACUGAGGUUCGCGCAUCUGCAAGGAUGCUGGCGUAAUGGUCAUCAGCGACCCGUCUU